AUUGAACGCUGGCGGCAGGCCUAACACAUGCAAGUCGAACGGUAACAGGAAGCAGCUUGCUGCUUUGCUGACGAGUGGCGGACGGGUGAGUAAUGUCUGGGAAACUGCCCGAUGGAGGGGGAUAACUACUGGAAACGGUAGCUAAUACCGCAUAACGUCGCAAGACCAAAGAGGGGGACCUUAGGGCCUCUUGCCAUCGGAUGUGCCCAGAUGGGAUUAGCUAGUAGGUGGGGUAACGGCUCACCUAGGCGACGAUCCCUAGCUGGUCUGAGAGGAUGAACAGCCACACUGGAACUGAGACACGGUCCAGACUCCUACGGGAGGCAGCAGUGGGGAAUAUUGCACAAUGGGCGCAAGCCUGAUGCAGCCAUGCCGCGUGUAUGAAGAAGGCCUUCGGGUUGUAAAGUACUUUCAGCGGGGAGGAAGGGAGUAAAGUUAAUACCUUUGCUCAUUGACGUUACCCGCAGAAGAAGCACCGGCUAACUCCGUG
rnacentral:rRNA from 1 species